CGGUUGAUCCUGCCGGAGGCUACUGCUAUUGGAAUUCGAUUAAAGCAUGCGAGUCGAGAGGGUUCGGCCCUCGGCAUAAUGCUCAGUAACACGUGGACAAUCUACCCUUGGGAGGGGCAUAAGCUCGGGAAACUGAGUAUAAUACCCCAUAAAUCUGGUCUGCUGGAAGGCUUCCAGGUUGAAAACUCCGGUGCCCAAGGAUGAGUCUGCGGCCUAUCAGGUUGUAGUGGGUGUCACGGACCCACUAGCCUUCGACGGGUACGGGCCUUGAGAGAGGAAGCCCGGAGAUGGACUCUGAGACACGAGUCCAGGCCCUACGGGGCGCAGCAGCUGCGAAAACUUCGCAAUGUGGGAAACCACGACGAGGGAAUUCCAAGUGCUGGCGCAAAGCGUCAGCUUUUCUUUAGCCUAAAUAGCUAUUGGAAUAAGGGCUGGGUAAGACCGGUGCCAGCCGCCGCGGUAAUACCGGCAGCUCGAGUGGUAGUCGAGAUUAUUGGGCUUAAAGCGUCCGUAGCCUGCUCUGUAAAUCCUUGGGUAAAUCGGGCAGCUUAACUGACCGAAUUCUGAUGAGACUGCAGAGCUUGAGACCGGGAGAAGUCAAAAGUACUCUUGGGGUAGGGGUGAAAUCCUGUAAUCCUAAGGGGACUACCAGUGGCGAAGGCGUUUGACUAGAACGGAUCUGACGGUGAGGGACGAAACCCUGGGGCACAAACGGGAUUAGAUACCCCGGUAGUCCAGGGCGUAAACGCUGCAGGCUUGGUGUU
rnacentral:rRNA from 1 species